UAGGGAAUCUUCGGCAAUGGACGGAAGUCUGACCGAGCAACGCUGCGUGAGUGAAGAAGGUUUUCGGAUCGUAAAGCUCUGUUGUUAGAGAAGAACGUUGGUAGGAGCGGAAAAUCUACUAAGUGACGGUAACUAACCAGAAAGGGACGGCUAACUACGUGCCAGCAGCCGCGGUAAUACGUAGGUCCCGAGCGUUGUCCGGAUUUAUUGGGCGUAAAGCGAGCGCAGGCGGUUCUUUAAGUCUGCAGUUAAAGGCAGUGGCUUAACCAUUGUACGCUUUGGAAACUGGAGGACUUGGGUGCAGAAGGGGAGAGUGGAAUUCCAUGUGUAGCGGUGAAAUGCGUAGAUAUAUGGAGGAACACCGGUGGCGAAAGCGGCUCUCUGGUCUGUAACUGACGCUGAGGCUCGAAAGCGUGGGGAGCAAACAGG
rnacentral:rRNA from 1 species